CACGUAGGGUGCGAGCGUUGUCCGGAAUUAUUGGGCGUAAAGAGCUCGUAGGCGGUGUGUCGCGUCGGCCGUGAAAACCUGCAGCUUAACUGUGGGCUUGCGGUCGAUACGGGCAGGCUCGAGUUCGGUAGGGGAGACUGGAAUUCCUGGUGUAGCGGUGAAAUGCGCAGAUAUCAGGAGGAACACCAGUGGCGAAGGCGGCUUCCUGGCCUGUAACUGACGCUGAGACGCGAAAGCGUGGGGAGCGAACCGG
rnacentral:rRNA from 1 species